UGGUUAACACAUAAAAUCACUCACACACAGUUAUUUUACUCCACUAUUAUCUCGACGAUCCAAAAUGUUAGCGCGUCUUUCGAUCAUAUCAUUACUCGACGCCGUGCCUUUCGAUCAACGUUGAUAUGGAAAGGGCUUUGAAAAUCACAAAACAAUUAAUUAAGAUUACACAAGCACAUAAAACACAAAUUACUCCACGAAAAUGACGCUCAAGACGCAAAUAAUUCAGUAAGGCAAGCGCGUGGCCUCGUCGUAGCACACAAUUCACGACAAAAAAGUGAUACAAAAGGCACACAAAAUAAAAACACUUUUCACUCCGAAUAUUUGUACGACCACACGUUCCCUUUGCCAAUUAAGCACUCUGUACACGAUCACUAAUACAGCACAAUAAGAACAUCACGAAAAUUCAUCAUCCCGUCACUGCUGCUAACACGAUACUGACGCGCAAUAAUAUUCAUUAGUACAAUGACCCCCUCUCACCGCAUGCAUGAUAUGAACACGAUCACGAAUACAGCACAAAAAGAACACCACGAAAAUGUAUCAUCCCGGCACUGCUGCUAACACAAUACUGACGCGCAAUAAUAUUCAUUAGCACAAUGACCACCCCUCACCGCAUGCAUGAUAUGAACACGAUCACGAAUGCAGCACAAAAAGAACACCACGAAAAUGCAUCAUCUCGGCACUGCUGCUAACACGAUACCAAAGAUACCUACACUCAAAAAAUCUUUCACCACAUAGUUGCAUGAAAAUUCCGGUGGCAGCCAAUUGUUGGCCCAAAAUAUCGUUUUACUUGAAUCAUGCAACUGUCACCACGCGAUCAUGUCAACUCUGCUUGAUUAUCAUGCAGAUUACCACAGAUUACACUAACACAACCACAAGCCACAUGAAAUCCAUGCAUGAAAAUUUGGGGGCGUGGCAUGCAGUCAGCUGGUUUUUUGUUUGCAUGAUAAUCUUGCAACAUCCGCAUGGAAACAUGUAUGGAAAAAAUCCAUACACCUUUUCAUGCAACUUUGUGGUGAAAAAUUUGUUGGUGUUUGUUACACUCAAAAAAUCUUUCACCACAGGGUUGCAUGAAAACUCCGGUGGCAGAUAAUUUUCAAUCCAGAACAACGUUUUACAUGAAUCAUGCAACUGUCGCAGUGCAUUCAUGUCAACCCUACCUGAUUUGCACGCAACCCUCACCCACACAACUAAAGUUGCGUGAAAUUCAUGCCUGAAAAAUUGGAGGCGUGGCAUGCAGUCAUCUGUGUUUUGGUUCGCAUGAAAUUCUUGUCAUAUCCACAUGGAAACUGCUAUGGAAAAAAGUCACUAGCCUUUUCAUGCAACAUUGAAGUGAAAAAUGAUGGCGAUGAACAAAGCUUUUGAGGUUGCGUGAAAUUCCUGUCUGCAAAUUUUGAGAUGGGCCUGAAAGUCUGAGGACGGUCAGUUGGCUGCUGAUUCUCAUCAAAGUAACAUUGUUUUUGUUUUCUUUCUGUUUGCGCCGGAACAUUUCAGCGCUGUUUUUCGAAGCGAGAUUUAUUGAUGCAAUAGCCAGGAAAACCGAAGUUCCAGUGCAACAACGUCGGUGCAAAUCACCGCAACAUGGCCAAGCGUAACAUGAAGCCGGUCCAGGACAAGAGAGUCAAACAAACCAGGAAGAAGGUAGGCACUGGUCGCGUCCGGCAGAAGGAGGAUCGCUAAAGUGACCAGAGAGACUGACCCGCGUUCCGCAAAGGAGAACCAGGCGUGUGAGUGUGAGAUUGUUCGUAGAAAAUGCCUCCUACACCGGCAAACAAGGCAAUUUGAGUAUGUUGUGAAUGUAGUGUGAAGUGAAAAUGAAACGUUGUGUAAAAGUGAUACAUGAAAUUUGGUGAAUAAAAAAAGUUAAAAGACAACCCCUUUUUUCUUCCAUAAAAAGACGAAAAAA